GAACGCACCUUGCGCCCUUUGGCUAUUCUGAAGGGCAUGCCUGUUUGAGUAUCAUGAACACCUCAACUCUCGUGGCCUGCCACGAUGAGCUUGGACUUUGGGGGUCUUGCCGGCCUAGCGUCGGCUCCUCUCAAAUGGAUCAGCUUGCCAGUGUUUGGUGGCGUCACGGGUGUGAUAACUAUCUACGCUUGUGGUUUUCUACCAUGUAACCUUCAGUGAUGGAGGUUCGCUGGGGCUCACAGAUGUCUCUCCUUGGGGAGGACAGCUUUUUGAACGUUUGAUCUCAAAUCAGGUAGGACUACCCGCUGAACUUA
rnacentral:misc_RNA from 1 species